AGAGCGAACGCUGGCGGCAGGCCUAAAACAUGCAAGUCGAACGGACCCUUCGGGGUUAGUGGCGGACGGGUGAGUAACACGUGGGAACGUGCCUUUUGGUUCAGAACAACUCAGGGAAACUUGAGCUAAUACUGAAUAAGCCCUACGGGGGAAAGAUUUAUCGCCAUUAGAGCGGCCCGCGUUGGAUUAGCUAGUUGGUGAGGUAAAGGCUCACCAAGGCUACGAUCCAUAGCUGGUCUGAGAGGAUGAUCAGCUACACUGGGACUGAGACACGGCCCAGACUCCUACGGGAGGCAGCAGUUAGGAAUCUUGCGCAAUGGGCGAAAGCCUGACGCAGCCAUGCCGCGUGAAUGAUGAAGGUCUUAGGAUUGUAAAAUUCUUUCAGUGGGAAGAUAAUGACUGUACCACAGAAGAAGCUCCGGCUAACUUCGCGCCAGCAGCCGC
rnacentral:rRNA from 1 species